rnacentral:rRNA from 1 species
UUAUAGUCUGUAGCAAGGUUAACCGAAUAGGGGAGCCGGAGGGAAACCGAGUCUAAACCGGGCGUUAAGUUGCAGGUUAUAGACCCGAAACCCGGUGAUCUAGCCAUGGGCAGGUUGAAGGUUGGGUAACACUAACUGGAGGACCGAACCGACUAAUGUUGAAAAAUUAGCUGAUGACCUGUGGCUGGUGGUGAAAGGCCAAUCAAACCUGCAGAUAGAUGGUUCUCCCCGAAAGAUAAUUAGGUAGCGCCUCGUCAACACAACUCCGGUGUAAGAGCACUUUAUCGGCUAGGGGGCCAUCCCGGCUGACCAACACGAUUCAAACUGCGAAUACCGGAUAAUGUUAUCACGGCAGACACACGGCGAGUGCAAACGUCCGUCGUGAAGAGGGAA